GACACACUGAAAUACCUGGCACCACAUUCAGCACUGCUGAAUACACGUUACCAAGCACAAGUCAUCACGUGCAUGGUGUGUAUCCACUGCUGGGACCAAAGGCUAUGCCAGUGCCAACAAGUUAUGAGUUUCACAUCAUGGUGGCGUUUACGAGCAGUUGCAAGAUCGCCUGUCGUCAGCUCGACAAGCACCGCAGCAGGAAUCGUCAUUAACACGACUGACGCGUCUACCUUCUACUAGUCCUUUGGAACAUCAGAGCUUUGGUGGCCAAGAAAUGCGGCGCACAGAUUCUGCAAUGCAAAUAUCAGUUCACGUUCCUACCCAUGGAAAUG